rnacentral:tRNA from 1 species
AAGCCCUAAGGUGUUUAACACAUAAGAUUGCAAAUCUUAAGAGGCAGACUAACUCCUGCUAGGGCUUUCC